ACGCUGCAGGGCUUGACGGAAGAGCUAAACCAUUUGCCUGGACGUUCUCCCUGCUAUUGUGAUCGGCCUCAUCUGUCUGAAACCUUGCUGACCCCAGCUUAUCUGGUGUUGGACCAAAUGGCCCCAGAGUCUCUGCAUCCUCUUCAGGGUGACCUGCGCAUAUCCUCUAUCCCUGCUCCUGCAAGCCACAGGCUGACCUACCUGGCCCUCAACUGCACGGGCCCUAAUGAGACACAGGCUCCCUUCACAGAAGGAAGGUGGAAAAGGCUCAUGUGAAGGUUGCUUUCCUGUCCUUGGACUUCUGACAUCCCUCAGGCCAGCCCUCAGCAGUGAGCCAACCCACAAGGCCAUCCACCUGCUCAGGAUCCAGUGGGAAGGCAGCUGCCCUCUUGGAUGAUCCUGGCACCAUAUUGGAAAGAGUCCAUCUGUGGAGGCCAUUAGAGAUUUGAUCACAGCCGUUGUUCAGCUGAGCCUCCGGGAGCUUGGGGAAUUUUCGUGCUGUUGGUGUUGACAAUGCCAUAAUCCUGGCUGUAAGUCGUCUAAGUGUGCUUCUCCAUAGACACACACCAAGUACUAGACGGUGCCAUUCUGUCCCACACGACUGUAUGAAAAGUCUUCUUAAAGACUGAGAAGACUCACCAUACAGAGCUUCGUUCCUUGAAACCCUAAGCUGGAACCCUGAAACCGUGGUUUCUUUUUCAGCUACCGUUAGGCUGAAAUUAACAAUAGCCUUCCCAAGGAUUGGUUUCUUCUCAAAGAGUUUUAACUUAUAAAUAGG
rnacentral:lncRNA from 1 species